GAGUUUGAUCCUGGCUCAGAUUGAACGCUGGCGGCAUGCCUUACACAUGCAAGUCGAACGGCAGCACGGGAGCUUGCUCCUGGUGGCGAGUGGCGAACGGGUGAGUAAUGCAUCGGAACGUAUCCUGGAGUGGGGGAUAACGUAGCGAAAGUUACGCUAAUACCGCAUAUUCUGUGAGCAGGAAAGCGGGGGACCUUCGGGCCUCGCGCUCUUGGAGCGGCCGAUGUCGGAUUAGCUAGUUGAUGAGGUAAAGGCUCACCAAGGCGACGAUCCGUAGCAGGUCUGAGAGGAUGAUCUGCCACACUGGAACUGAGACACGGUCCAGACUCCUACGGGAGGCAGCAGUGGGGAAUUUUGGACAAUGGGGGCAACCCUGAUCCAGCCAUGCCGCGUGAGUGAAGAAGGCCUCGGUU
rnacentral:rRNA from 1 species